rnacentral:misc_RNA from 1 species
AACGCACAUUGCGCCCGCGAGUAUUCUCGCGGGCAUGCCUGUCCGAGCGUCAUUUCAACCCUCAGAGCCCGCCUGCUUGUCAGGCGCGGCGCUGGUGUUGGGGAUCGGCUUCACUGCCGUCCCCCAAAUACAGUGGCGGUCUCGCUGCAGCCUCCCCUGCGUAGUAGCAACACUCGCAUGCGGAGCGCGGCGCGGCCACGCCGUAAAACCCCCGACUUUCUGAACGUUGACCUCGGAUCAGGUAGGAAUACCCGCUGAACUUAA